ACAAUGGGCGCAAGCCUGAUGUCAGCCAUGCCGUCGUGUGUGAAGAAGGCCUUCGGGUUGUUAAAGCACUUUCUAGUUGUGAGGAAGGUGGUGUCGUUAAUAGCGGCAUCAUUUGACGUUAGCAACAGAAGAAGCACCGGCUAACUCCGUGCCAGCAGCCGCGGUAAUACGGAGGGUGCGAGCGUUAAUCGGAAUUACUGGGCGUAAAGCGCAUGCAGGUGGUUUGUUAAGUCAGAUGUGAAAGCCCGGGGCUCAACCUCGGAACUGCAUUUGAAACUGGCAGACUAGAGUACUGUAGAGGGGGUAGAAUUUCAGGUGUAGCGGUGAAAUGCGUAGAGAUCUGAAGGAAUACCGGUGGCGAAGGCGGCCCCCUGGACAGAUACUGACACUCAGAUGCGAAAGCGUGGGGAGCAAACAGGAUUAGAUACCCUGGUAG
rnacentral:rRNA from 1 species